rnacentral:rRNA from 1 species
AGAUUGAACGCUGGCGGCAUGCCUUACGCAUGCAAGUCGAACGGCAGCACGGGAGCAAUCCUGGUGGCGAGUGGCGAACGGGUGAGUAAUAUAUCGGAACGUGCCCAGUCGUGGGGGAUAACGCAGCGAAAGCUGUGCUAAUACCGCAUACGAUCUAUGGAUGAAAGCGGGGGAUCGCAAGACCUCGCGCGAUUGGAGCGGCCGAUAUCAGAUUAGCUAGUUGGUGGGGUAAAAGCCUACCAAGGCGACGAUCUGUAGCUGGUCUGAGAGGACGACAGCCACACUGGAACUGAGACACGGUCCAGACUCCUACGGGAGGCAGCAGUGGGGAAUUUGGACAAGUGGCGCAAGCCUGAUCCCGAGCAAGUCGCCGCGUGCGAGGAUAGAAGGUCCUUACGGGUUAGUUAAACCGUCGUUUUAGGUAACGGAACGUAAACGGUUACUCGUUACUAACGUACGAA